CAUCGGUCCCCGCGCACUGCUAAAUUGCGAACCCCGCCAGGUCCUGACGGAAGCAACGGUAGUGAUGGCUGCAGGUGCGUUGGUCAGGCUGAUGCUG
rnacentral:SRP_RNA from 2 species